UUGAACGCUGGCGGCAUGCCUUACACAUGCAAGUCGAACGGUAACAGGGAGCUUGCUCCGCUGACGAGUGGCGAACGGGUGAGUAAUAUAUCGGAACGUGCCCUAGAGUGGGGGAUAACUAGUCGAAAGAUUAGCUAAUACCGCAUACGAUCUAAGGAUGAAAGUGGGGGAUCGCAAGACCUCAUGCUCGUGGAGCGGCCGAUAUCUGAUUAGCUAGUUGGUAGGGUAAAAGCCUACCAAGGCAUCGAUCAGUAGCUG
rnacentral:rRNA from 1 species